UCAGUCUAUACUUAGCUUUUGACAACCACUGACUCCUUCACAGCUUUUCUUCGCUUUUCCCAAGUGGCAGUGUUCAAGUUGCGAACUAUUUGCGGCAUUUUCUCGGAGGAGCCGUCGAAACUUUCUUCGUGAUACGAUUCGCAACGUUUGUUGAAGUUUCAAUAGGAAAAACCAAGCAAAACACCGUCGUCGUCCCAGACGUGCAGGAAGCACCGUGGGAGAGUUUGCCUUAAAUUGGAACGAAGAAGCUUUUCCCUUGCGCGAUACGAUCGCUGAAUUUGGAAUUAGUGGGGGGGCAAUACUAGUCUGGACGGGGCUGCCGGAGAUGUCGGCCAGAUCUCGCUCUGCCUAGACUUGAUGGGAGUCGAUACCUCGACGUACGGGUCACGACGGGACUGGGAUGCGCUUGAUGGAUGCGCGAGUCUCGUGGACAAUACCGGUUGACAAUGUGAAAAGCGGGUUUGCACAUGGUGACAUUGUAGACAAUUGAAGUCAGCGAUCGUUAUGGGAAAUAUGAGUUUGAUUUUAUUGGUGGAUCUAGUAUCCAUAUUGUUUAAAGACUGAUGCGAAGUUAUGAAGCGACUCCGAUGACUCUUACUUCAAUUCGAAUAUCAACUCUAUCAAAAAACUUUUAACGACCACGUAUGCUGUAACAAAAUUAAAGAAACCAAUCGAUCACACAUGAUAUUCAGCCAUCUCCGUUUUGAGUCCGUCGGAAUUGUUUAACACGCAGGGCACAUCUUUCGCGCGGCCAUCCAAAAUGGGAAUCUACUCCGGCUGCGGAGAUGCCUCCCUAGAAGGCAUCAUCACGAAAUGUGUCGCCGAGUUGUCUUCCAGAGUUCGAACCCAUUGGUCUCUGGAAAGUUGAGUUGAAUGCCCAGCGGGGGGGGAAAAGUUGCAUUUCUCCGCCGGGGCAUCUUCGUCACAGCCUUUUUCCAUCGCCGGUGAGGGACGAGUCCAUGUGGAUGGACCCGUUGACCGGUUAGACAUCGUGGCACUGACUGGCUGUUGGCUGUGAUUUACUGUGCAUUUCAAGCUGUCACAUGAAGAAUAAAUCAUAAAAAAAAUCAUUGGAAAUAAUUUAUCAAAUUUUAAGAGAUAAAAACACUUUGCA